GACGAACGCUGGCGGCGUGCUUAACACAUGCAAGUCGAACGGAAAGGCCCUGCUUUCGUGGGGUGCUCGAGUGGCGAACGGGUGAGUAACACGUGAGUAACCUGCCCUUGACUUUGGGAUAACUUCAGGAAACUGGGGCUAAUACCGGAUAGGAGCUCCUGCUGCAUGGUGGGGGUUGGAAAGUUUCGGCGGUUGGGGAUGGACUCGCGGCUUAUCAGCUUGUUGGUGGGGUAGUGGCUUACCAAGGCUUUGACGGGUAGCCGGCCUGAGAGGGUGACCGGCCACAUGAGGACUAAGAUACGGCCCAGACUCCUACGGGAGGCAGCGGUGGGGAGUAUUGCACAAUGGGCGGAAGCCUGAUGCAGCGACGCCGCGUGCGGGAUGACGGCCUUCGGGUUGUAAACCGCUUUCGCCUGUGACGAAGCGUGAGUGACGGUAAUGGGUGAAGAAGCACCGGCUAACUACGUG
rnacentral:rRNA from 1 species